rnacentral:rRNA from 1 species
AGCGAACGCUGGCGGCAGGCCUAACACAUGCAAGUCGAACGAAGUCUUCGGACUUAGUGGCGGACGGGUGAGUAACACGUGGGAACGUACCCUUUGGUUCGGAACAACUCAGGGAAACGUGAGCUAAUACCGGAUGAGCCCUUAGGGGGAUAGAUUUAUCGCCGAAAGAGCGGCCCGCGUUAGAUUAGCUAGUUGGUGAGGUAAAGGCGCACCAAGGCUACGAUCUAUAGCUGGUCUGAGAGGAUGAUCAGCCACACUGGGACUGAGACACGGCCCAGACUCCUACGGGAGGCGGCAGUGGGGAAUCUUGCGCAAUGGGCGAAAGCCUGACGCAGCCAUGCCGCGUGAAUGAUGAAGGUCUUAGGAUUGUAAAAUUCUUUUACCAGGGACGAUAAUGACGGUACCUGGAGAAAAAGCCCCGGCUAACUUCGUGCCAGCCGCCGCGGUAAUAC